GAUGAACGCUAGCGAUAGGCUUAACACAUGCAAGUCGAGGGGCAGCAUGGUCUUAGCUUGCUAAGACUGAUGGCGACCGGCGCACGGGUGCGUAACGCGUAUGCAACUUGCCUCACAGAGGGGGAUAACCCGUCGAAAGACGGACUAAUACCGCGUACACUCUAUUUUGGGCAUCCAAGGUAGAGGAAAUGAAAUUCGCUGUGAGAUAGGCAUGCGUCCCAUUAGCUAGUUGGUGAGGUAACGGCUCACCAAGGCGACGAUGGGUAGGGGAACUGAGAGGUUGAACCCCCACACUGGUACUGAGACACGGACCAGACUCCUACGGGAGGCAGCAGUGAGGAAUAUUGGUCAAUGGGCGAGAGCCUGAACCAGCCAAGUCGCGUGAAGGAUGACUGUCUUAUGGAUUGUAAACUUCUUUUGUAGGGGAAUAAAGAGGGGAAAGUGUGCCCCAGUGAAUGUACCCUACGAAUAAGCAUCGGCUAACUCCGUG
rnacentral:rRNA from 1 species